rnacentral:tmRNA from 1 species
AGUCUUUGAUUUUUUUUUAAAUUCAUGUAUAAAUCAUUCUUGUCGCUUCGGCGACUAUGACGGUAGAGUGCGUGACGUACUAGAUGUUCUGGACCCGGGGGCAGAACCCGGCGCCUCCACCAACAGCCCAUACGGUCGGGUCUCCGCGAGGAAAACGGUAGGACACCUUUCGGAAUAAAGAAUCCCGUUUGCUAAAUGACGUAUGGGUUGCUGAUGGGGGCGAAAUAGGAUCGACAGGCGUUGAAAGGUGAUGUGUGCCGUUCGGAAUGGUAUCCGCCGUUAUCGGGCCAAGCUUAGUAUCUGCAAACGAUAACUUCGCAAAGGAUUUCGCUGUCGCUGCCUGAGGGCGGUGCCGGUAGUCCGGUUUAAGUCCGCGGGAUAUAGCGCCCGUGGCGGGGUUCGAAGGCACCUGGCAACAGAAGCCCUCACU